rnacentral:lncRNA from 1 species
UAUAUUUCUUUUAUUUUAUUUUAGAAUAAGGUUUCUAAACCUUAUUAAACUCCAUCUAUUUGAUAUUAUUUGAAUAAGGAGUUUCACUCCUAUUAGAAUAAGGUUUACAAGCCUAUAAAUAGGCAUAGUCUACUCCUCUUGUAAUUAAGUUUUCGACAUAGUGAAUUUUCUUUUCCUCUGCCCGUGGUUUUUUUCCUGAAAGGGUUUCCACGUAAAAUUUGUGUGUUCUUUAUUUUUCUAUUUCUAUUUUUCUUUGCGAUAUAUUGUUAUUACCGACAUUAUAUUUUUCUCAAAUUGGUAUCCGAGCUUCCGGGUUGUUCAUCUCAAUUACAGUAAUGACGUCUUUGAAGUACGAAAUUCUGCUGUUGGAUCGCAACACCAGAUUUGCGUUGUGGCAGAUAAAGAUGCAAGCAGUUCUUGCACAGAUGGACUUAGAGGAAGCGCCUUACUAGGGGUAGAUAAGAUGCCCUCAACAUUGACGGAAGAAGAGAAGAAGCACAAGGAUCGAAAGGCGUUAACACAGUUACAUCUGCAUUUGUCUAACGAAAUUUUGCAGGAUGUGAUGAAGGAAAAGACUGCCGCUGGAUUAUGGAAGAGGUUGGAACAGAUAUGUAUGUCGAAAACUCUAACUAGUAAGCUACAUAUGAAGCAGCGUCUUUAAGCUCAUCGUUUGGAGGAAGGUGCAUCUGUGCACGAACACUUAACAGUGUUUAAAGAAAUUCUCUCAAACUUGGAGGCCAUGGAGGUUCGGUAUGAUAAGGAAGAUCUAGCGUUGAUUCUACUUUGUUCGUUGCCCCUGUCUUAUUUAACCUUUAGAGAUACGAUUUUAUAUAGCCGUGAGUCUCUCACAGUUGAUGAGGUUUAUGAUUUUUUAACCUCGUAUAAUAAGAUGAAGCAUCUUGUGGUUAAAAUUGACUCUCAGGGAGAGGGUCUUAUUGUUCGUGGGAGACAAGAUCGGAAUACUGAUGAUGAUCGUGGAAGGACACAGGAACGGAAUCCUCGCAGUAAAUCUAAGGGUAGGUCGAAGUCUUCAAACAAAGGUAAAACUUGUAACUUUUGCAAGAAGAAAGGGCACAUUAAAUCUGAGUGCUAUAAGUUACAGAACAAGAUUAAAAGGGAGGCUGCGAAUCAAAAUGGAAAACAACUAGAAAAUUCUGGUAAAGCUGAUGUUGUAGAAGAUUACAGUGAUGGUGAACUUCUAGCCGCUUCUGUCAACAAUUCCAAAGUGAGCGAGGAGUGGAUCCUUGAUUCGGGUUGCACCUUUCACAUGAGUCCCAAUCGGGAUUGGUUUACAACUUAUGAAACAGUGUCUGAAGGUAUUGUGUUGAUGGGAAAUAAUGAUUCAUGUAGAAUUGCAGGUGUUGGAACAAUUAGAGUUAAGAUGUUUGAUGGAGUUGUCAGAACACUCAGUGAAGUACGACAUGUUCCAGAAUUAAAGAGAAAUUUAAUUUCAUUGAGUACUAUUGAUUUAAAAGGGUACAAAUACACAGUUGAAAGUGGGGUUUUAAAGAUUUCCAAAGGUUCCCUCAUUGUGAUGAAAGGGCAGAGAAAGACUGCCAAGUUAUAUGUCUUGCAAGGUUCUACUGUUACUGGUGAUGUAGCUGUGUCAUCCUCUUCCUUGUCAGAUGAUGAUAUUACUAAACUUUGGCAUAUGCGCCUAGGGCAUAUGAGUGAGAAUGGCAUGGCAGAAUUGAGCAAAAGAGGACUUCUUGAUGGGCAAGGAAUUUGCAAACUGAAGUUCUGUGAGCACUGCAUUUUUGGGAAGCAAAAGAGUGUUUGAUUCACCAGAGGAAUCCAUAACACGAAGGGAACGUUAGAGUAUAUACAUUCUGAUCUAUGGGGGCCAUCCAAAGUUCCUUCGAGAGGUGGAGCUAAUUAUAUGCUAACUUUUAUUGAUGAUUUUUUCAGAAAAGUGUGGGCGUUCUUUCUGAAGCAGAAAAGCGAUGUGUUUUCCGUAUUUAAGUCUUGGAAAACCAUGAUUGAAAAACAGACGGGAAAGCAAAUAAGAUAUCUCCGCACAGACAAUGACUUAGAGUUCUGUUCUGAUGAAUUUAAUAAACUGUGCCAGUCAGAAAGGAUCAUGAGACACUUGACAGUUCGUCAUACUCCACAGCAAAACGGCGUUGCAGAACGAAUGAACAGAACAAUCAUGGAGAAGGUUCGAUGUAUGUUGUCAAAUGCCAACUUAUCAAAGUCAUUUUGGGCAGAAGUAGCCUGUACUGCAUGUUUUUUGAUUAACCGAUCUCCAUCCGUUGCCAUUGAGAAAAAGACUCCACAAGAUGUAUGGUCUGGUAAUCCUGCUGACUAUUAUGAUUUAAAGAUCUUUGGUUGUCCUGCGUAUGCUCAUGUGGAUAAUGGAAAAUUGGAACCAAGAUCUAUUAAAUGUGUUUUUCUUGGUUAUAAAGCUGGUGUAAAAGGGUAUAAGUUAUGGUGUCCUGAAAAUAGAAAAGUUGUGAUUAGCAGAGAUGUUGUUUUUGAUGAAACUGCUAUGCUACCUAACUUAUCUCUUAAAAACUCUUCCAAUAAAGAAAAUCAAAAGCAGGUGGAGCAUUAGAUUGAUCUAGAAUCUACAACAGAAUCGACUACUAAAGCCAGUACAAAAAUUCAAAAUAGAGUUGCUUCUUCACCACAAUACUCUAUCGCCAAAAACAGAACUAGAAGAGAAAUUAAACCUCCAAAGAAGUAUGCCGAGGCUGAUCUAGUUGCUUAUGCUUUAAAUGUGGCUGAAGAUAUAGAUGCAAAUAAAGAGCCAUCUAAUUAUUCUGAGACGGUUAGUUGUGAAGACUCAGAAAAAUGGAUGUUUGCUAUGCAAGAGGAGAUGGAAGCACUACACAAAAAUCAAACAUGGGAUCUUAUGAAACUUCCUAAAGGUAAAAAGGUUGUUCGUUGUAAAUGGGUGUUUAAAAAGAAAGAGGGGACUCCAAGAGUUGAAGAACCCAGAUAUAAAGCAAGGCUUGUUGCAAAGGGUUACAGUCAAAUUCCAGAAGUAGACUUCACAGAUGUGUUCUCUCCAGUUGUGAAGCAUAGUUCGAUUCGAGCUUUGCUUGGUAUUUUGGCCAUGCAUGAUUUGUAGCUUAAGCAGUUAGAUGUAAAAAUUGCAUUUUUGCAUGGAGAACUUGAGGAGGAUAUUUACAUGCAACAACCAGAGGGUUUUACAGUUUCAGAAAAAGAGGACUAUGUUUGCUUGCUGAAAAAGUCCCUUUACAGUUUGAAACAGUUAUCAAGACAGUGGUAUAAGAGGUUUGAUUCCUUUAUGACUUCUCAUGAUUUUAAAAGAAGUAGCUUUGACAGUUGUAUUUAUUUUAAGAAAAAACAAUGAUGGUUCUUUUGUGUUUCUACUCCUUUAUGUUGAUGACAUGUUGAUAGUAGUGAAAGAUAAAGGAGAGAUAAGAAAGGUCAAAGCCUAACUAAGUGAAGAAUUUGAGAUGAAAGACUUGGGUCCAGCAAAGAAGAUACUUGGUAUAGAGAUUUUCAGGGAUAGAAAAGCAAGUAAAUUGUAUCUAAGUCAGAAAUGGUACAUUGAGAAAGUUCUUUCUAGAUUCAAUAUGCAGAAUGCUAAGCCUGUUAGUACUCCUUUAGCAGCCCAUUUCAGACUUUCAUCGGCUUUGUAUCCACAAUCAGAUGAUGAGAUUGAGUACAUGUCACAUGUUCCAUACUCUAGUGCAGUGGGAUCUCUCAUGUAUGCCAUGGUUUGUUCACGUCCAGAUUUAUCAUAUGCAGUUAGUGCAGUUAGCAGAUACAUGGCGAAUCUUGGUAAAGAACAUUGGAAAGCAGUUCAGUGGAUUUUAAGAUACUUACGAGGUACUACCGAUGUUUGCUUACAGUUUGGAAGAACUAGAGAUGGAGUCAUUGGGUAUGUUGAUGCUGAUUUUGCUGGGGACCUCGAUAGAAGAAGAUCUCUCACCGGUUAUGUCUUUACAAUCGGAGGUUGUGCAAUCAGUUGGAAAGCCACUUUGCAAACUACAGUCGCUUUGUCUACUAUUGAAGCUGAGUACAUGGCGAUUACUGAGGCUUGUAAAGAAGCUAUAUGGUUGAAGGGACUCUUUAGUGAACUCAAUGAAGACCUUCAAAUCAAUACAGUAUUUUGUGACAGUCAGAGUGUCAUCUUCCUUACAAAAGAUCAAAUGUUUCAUGAGAGAACAAAACACAUUGAUGUUCGGUAUCAUUUUGUUCGUGAUAUUAUUGCUCGUGGUGAUGUUGUUGUGAGCAAAAUUAGUACUCAUGAAAAUCCUGCAGAUAUGAUAACUAAGUCACUUCCUAUAACCAAGUUUGAGUAUUGCUUAGACUUGGUUGGUGUUCAUUGUUGCAAAUAAACCCUUAAGGGGUUUUAUGGAAGAGGUGGAGUAACUUGUUCGUUGAAAGUUCGCGAUGAAGAACUUGUUCAUUAAGAAUUCGUAUCAAGGUGGAGAUUGUUAGAAUUAAGUGACCCAAAUCCUUAUUUAAAUAAAAUACUGUGGUAAAAUAAAAUAAAAUUAAAAUCCCUAUAGAAUUAUACUUCUUUUAUUUUAUUUUAGAAUAAGGUUUCUAAACCUUAUUAAACUCCAUCUAUUUGAUAUUAUUUGAAUAAGGAGUUUCACUCCUAUUAGAAUAAGGUUUACAAGCCUAUAAAUAGGCAUAGUCUACUUCUCUUAUAAUUAAGUUUUCGACAUAGUGAAUUUUCUUUUCAUCUGCCCGUGGUUUUUUUCCCGAAAGGGUUUCCACGUAAAAUUUGUGUGUUCUUUAUUUUUCUAUUUCUAUUU